UAGCUGAAACAUUUCAAUUGGUUGAAAAAAAAGAAAAAAAAAAAGAAAAGAAAUAUUCUAUUUGGUUGAAACACUAAAUUUGAUUAGGAAAAUUAAUUAGAUCGAGAAAAAAGAAAAAAAAAAUCCCAAUAAUACAUGUUCUUAAUUAGGUGAAAGUCUGCUCUGGGUGGUGAGACGUCGGUUGCUAAGGGUUGGCUCGUGGAACCGAGCUUCCGUCUGUACUGAGGAUACAGACAUGUUAUUUUUGAUCUCUGCGUGGUCCACAUGUGGGGGACUGAGUAUAAAAGACGGCUUCUGAAAGAGGGAGCGCGUUUGCAGAGUGAAGUAUUUUCAAGAUACGAGGGACCCGGGCCUAGAGGGGCCUAACGUUGAGAAAAUACUUCGUGAAAGGAUCUGUCGCCAGAUCAGGUUGGUUCCCUUUUUACGGAGACGUCCGAUAAAAAGGCAUUUUGGGAAGGUUCCGGCCGGAACACACAAAAAAAUCUAAGGCAGGAAACCGCCGGACUCUGAAAGACGGGUUCGGGGCAAUUUGAGUCUUCACCACCAGACAGAAACCGUACAAAACUAAACAACUGAGCGCGAUGAGGGUAAAUCCGGAUCUGGACUCCUUUCCCACCAUCAGCAGAAGAACCGAAGGAGAAGAAGCGCCGACCAACAACCAGAACAGGGUGGAAGCUCUGACACCACAGCAGCUGGAGGACACAGACCACAGCAUGGACGCCUCAGCGACUCUCACAACGUCUGCAGCCGUCACGUUCUGGGCUCAUCAGAUGAACCAGCUACUACAAGCGUGUGUGUCUGACACAGACACCUGCUUAUGACAAUCAGCAAAGGAAAACAAGGACAGAGCAACAGCAGAGAAGACGUGCUCUGACACGGACACUGGUUAAAACAACAGGAGAGGCUUCAGAUGUGAUCGGCCCAAUAGAGCUGCAUCUGAGGAUCCAGGAAAGGUCUGUCAUCGAGGAACAACUGUCCCAUCGAAAGGCUUCACCCACUGGCGCUCACAUCAGACUGAUGGUUGGGGAAGGAGGAAGGUGACGGUUCCUUUUCACGUGACGUAGAAGACGGUACCGCAAACACACACACACAUUCAUACACGCAAUGAAGAAACACGCUUACAGCUGAUACACGCUCAAAUUCAUGUUCAUGCUUAUCUGCUCGCAAUGAAGAAUCUCUUUUUGCUCAAAAAAAAAAAAUCCCACAGAGUGAUUUUCAAAUUAUGACAAACAGCUAAAUGACAACUGCUGCAUGACUUUACAGUCUGAUGGGUUCAAACUAUUUUAACUUGCAACAAAUUCAGUAAUAAAAUCCUUCAUGUUUCUAAAAAUACUUGUGCACAAUAUAGGUUUGUCUGGCCAGACUGUAGAAAAACAAAAAAACAGACUGUAGAAAAAAACAAAAAAACAGACUAUAGGAAGACUGAGACUGAAACAGACUAUUAAUGACUAUUAAAGGGAAGAUGACUAUUAGAGAGAAGUAAUAAUAAUUACUGUAUGUACCAGACUAUUAAAGAAAAACUUACUGUUUCAUUGUCUUGUGCAACAUCUGACAGAAAGACACCUUAACAUUCAUCUUUGCUUUCAAACUUGUGCCCAGUUAAAUUUUUAGGAAGAGAUCUCAUGUAGUUUACAUAUUUGAUUGAUUUCCACUCCAGACGGAGUGCAGGUUACAUCUACAGACAUUCUAAAUAAUCCCUCUUUUGUUGGUGUUAACUUCAGCUCAGCUGUGCUCUUAUCAUUGCCUGCCUGAGGGGGGGCUGUAACUGAGGCCCUCACACAGGCUGCAUCACAGCUUGUUUAUGAUUUCACACACACACACACAAACUGACCUCAACUUCCCUCUUUUGGGAUGAACACAGGUCUGCGCUUGCGAUUUCUUUUACUAACGAACAAAAAGAUUUUUAUUUUUAUUCUACAGUUCCACACGUCCCUCUGUGAAAACAUGAUGGAGACAGAUGCAGGACGUGGGUCCUUUCGUGAACAGAUGUCAACGGGGUGGAGACUGGUGAACAACUUCUGACCCCAUGUGAUGUAUUCACCUACUUUGCAUACUUUAGAAAACUUUUUUUUUAUUCUGCCUGUCAUGCACAACAAACAGUGAACCUCCACAUUCUAAUGACACACUACAUGUUUUUAUGUUUAUUUUUCAGAGGACGCUCUGAGCCAACACUCAGCCUUACAGGAAGCCCUGCUUCCCUGUGACUCACACACAGACAUGAUGUAGGUUUGAUCAGAGGAUGUGAACCAGUGGUCAUCACACCUAAAUCUGACCACAAACCAUGUAAACAACAACACCCUCUUAAAGGAAGCCAUAGAUGGUGUUACUGCAGACACCACUAAGCUACUAAAACAUUGGAUGCUACAGGCCACAAAGAGAGCCUGUCUAAAUUACAGUUUGUUCAGACAAAGGUUAUUUUCUGGGUCAUUGUAAUUACAGCUGAUGGCAAAUCCAUCUCACCCAACUGAGUUAAAGCAAUUUGAGACCUGCCUAAACCGUGCACGUAAAAACAGCUGAUAUCUUUUCUAGGUCUUUGUUCUUAUUGUAGGAACUUCAUUCCUAACUUUACUGUCUUUGAGGCCCCACUCAGGGUUCUGAUGCAGACGUCUUCAUCGUCCACUUCUUGUCUCACGUGGACGUCUGAGGCUGAACAACGUUCACCGACCUCAUGCUUGCUCUUCAGUUGGCUCCUCCUUUGGGUCUUCCUGAUCUGACCCUACGCGACCUUUCACUCAAACAGUGGAUGAGAAAUCAGGUUGUACGACUUCUGUUCUUUUGUCCUCAUACUGUGUCUUUGAUUCUUUUGGAAUAGAUCCCAUCUUUCUACAGCCCGAUGGCUUAGAAGCAACACCACUUUGCUCAACAUGCUGAACGUUACUAUCAAGACGUCAUCUUGAAGUCUAGUGCUUUGCUAAGACACUACUCUGCUCAGGCUGCAGAGUUGAUCCUAUUGACUGAAGCUGGUUAACUAAAAGUCUGUUACCAUCUACACAGACUCCACAGACGCUCUGUGGAAGCAUAAGAAGCUUUUGAAGUCUGAUUGCAAACCUAUCUUACAUCAUGAUAAGGUUCUGCUUUGCUGGACGCUGUCCUGCUACAGUACCUACAGCUAAUGCUGUUUGUAACUGUCCAACAUCAGUGACGACUUUGUUUCUGCCGACAUGCAGCUGCAGACGCUGCUGCGAAGGUCGCUGCCCAACAACCCCUCCCUCUCCUGAUCCUCGUUUCCUCUCCUGAUCCUUGUUCCCUCUCCAACUCUCUCUAUCCUUUCCUUCCUCAUCUCCCUGUGCUUUAAACAUUUUCUACCUCACAGGAACGCAGACUCUGGCUGACGAAUGGUUCCACCUGUAGCCAUGGAGUCUGGUUUGGGCCUGACGACAAACCGUGCCGCCCAAACACUUUUUCCCCACAAUUCAGAUUUCCCAACAGGUGAAAACAGGCGACAGGGCCAUCACACCAUUCAACCAGGGGACUGAGCGAUCGUUAAGGAGUUCAGGAGGAAACACUGGAACUCCAAACGGUGGCGAGGCCCCUUCCAGGUCCUUCUGACGACCAACACGGCUGUGAAGAUCGCAGAAAGAGCGACUUGGAUCAACUCCAUCCAGGAAGGUCCCGGAUCCAACAGACGACCCUCCAUCUACAUCCUACGGAGAAAACCACCACUAACGAAAAGAACUAAAAAGGACGACUCUCGCUGUGCUCACACACGCACUGAGGCGAGGCUGCGUUGACCGUUCAGCUAAAGGUGUGAGCCAAGCGCCGCCUGAAGCUGCGCCGGUGAAUCACACUAUCAGACCAACAGCUACACACACGCUCCUGAGAAAACACACACACGAGCAGCCUUGAGUUGCCGACGCUGGACGACGUGUAGACUCUUCACAUCACGGGAGUGACAGUGACUCAGACGACAUUGGGAGGAAACCUGACGGUGAUAACGAACCCCAAGUGUCUCUGUGAUCAGCUGAUCACAACCUGAAGAACUCCAACGAACUGGCAAUACUUCAACACACAGGUUGGAAACAAUCUAACGCUACUGUUCAAUAAGAAGAAGCAGAUUGUUACGAGACAUCAAUUGUAACCAUGUUGUGUUAGACCUUAUUUUGUUACUCUGAUUAUUGUCUUUAUCAUAUGAUGUUUCUAUGUAACUUUACACAAUACUUUUGAAUGAGAAAAUUUCACAUAAUUCACAACGACACUGAGUUUAAAUAUCCUGAAGUUGACUUGGUGUUUAAUUUGCUCACAAUCACUUAUUCACUGCUACAAUUAGUUUUUAUCCUUCAUCUACAGAUGACAGAGGUUAUGAGACAAAACGCAUCAUCAUUCUGGUUAAAUCCCUGGAUCUCGUAUUCAUUCUAGAUGCAAAUGUACAAUUAAAGAUUCAAAAGCAUGAAAUCUAUCUUAAGAUUAUAUGAUACAGAACCCCACCGGAAACCUAUGGCUAUCAUACAUUAAUUGUAUUUAUUACAUUACAAUUGAAUGGCCAUAGACACGUUGUUAGCAGAGAAAAGAGGCGUUUGUGUUAUGUUUGGAGACGCAUGUUGUACUUACAUCCUGAAUAACACUGAUUCUAAUGAUAUUGUGGCGAAGGCGCUACACGGCCUUCAGAGUCUCAGCUAACUCUGGUAUAGGUUCUUUCUCUUGGAAUUGGCUAGACGAAAUGUCUGGAAAAUGGAAAUCUGUUCUCAUGUCCACAGCUGUUUCCUUUAUAAUUGAGAUGGCUGUGAUUCUCUUGUUUGGUUUUUGCGUUAUCCCACUGGUUAGAGGUCUCAUCAUGCGUGCGACCUCAGCAACACUCUCGUAUGAGAUGACACAAUGCACUAUGUUCAAAAACCCCAACUCUAACUCACUUAAUGACUUUGACGAUGGUAUGGGCUCAUUUUUUUCACAUGCCGAUACAGAAGUUAUUCUUGUAUAACUACCCACCAAAAACAGCUCCCAACCUUUUGUCCCUAAGUUACUUGCAUUUUAUGUGAAGGUGUAUUUUGAAUCUUGAUGAGUUAAUACCCUUAUUGUUUCAUUUGCAAGGAUCUUUUAUUAUUACAGAAUGUGAUGUUGACAAUUUUUAUUCCUUUAUGGUUUGAUUAAUGUGUAAUCAAAAGGGGGGAGUGUUAUGGGAAAAAUUGUCUCUUCCUUAUUUUUAUGUGUCUUCCUUAUUUCUAUGCAUUUUUAUGCAGUUAUUAUACGAGUUAUGACUUAUGUUCUGCAAUUAAUAUCUUAUGUUUUGUCUUACUGUAUGCAUUUGACAUUUCACCUAGAUUGUUCAAUGGUUGUCUCUGCCUGAUAGACUCUCAACUCUAGCUCCCAAACCCAAGGUCGGGGAGUUGUGUCUCUGUCUGUUGAGACUCUGUGCUCCUUUCUCACAGAUAGUUGGACGUCAGCAAUGCAGGUGUGAGAAAGUAAAAAUCUUCACACAUACUGCGACAGGGAGGAGAUGGUGCAUGUAAUUUGAUUGGGUUAGAAAGACAUUUCACCCUAGUCGGACAGAGAAGCUAAAAGGCAGAAGCAACUUGAGGAUCGUGGGCUCUUUGCAUCACACCUUCGUGGUGUGUGCACUGAUCUCCCCAGCUGGUUUUUGGUUUGUUGAUGUGCACGAUCAACAUCCAUGCUUUUUAUUUGCUUUCCCCAUUAUUUUUAUUUUCUUUAUUAUUUCAAUAAAUCGCACAAAAGGACAA